AAUAAAUCAAUCCAAACAGAGCAUAAUAAAAUAACAUUAUGUGAAUGAAAAUAAAGAGAGAAACUAACAAUGUGAUCCAUAUGAGCAUGAGAGAUCAAAAGAAAAUCCAUAGAAACAGCACGAGGUGGACAACGACCAAUAUCAAAAGCAACUCUAAAGUUGGAAAAAAUAACACAAGUUUCAUGUCCUCCAAUUGAUAAACCCUCAACUUGGUAUCCUUCAAUAUUCAAACCCUUUGAUUUCUUCUUUGACUCUGUUUCUGAACUUUUCUCAGUUCCAAGCUCCAUCAACGCAAUAGAAUGGUACUGCGGCAGAACUGAAAAACCCUUAUUCAAUUAAUAAUAACAGUUAAGUUACUUUGAUAAAACAAGAAAAACGAUGACGAUCAUUGAUCAUGCUAAUCCUGUAAUCCAUGUUCUUGAAUAACACUGAUUAAGCAAUAAUCAACAAUAAAAAGGUGAUUGGAUAGAUAUUGAAAAAAGUGACGAAGCAUUGAAUUAGCGAGUCUGAACCUUGACGAUAACACGAUUAACAGAAGUGACGAAAGCUCGAGUUGGAUCCAUGGAGUAUUUCAAAGGAACACAAUGACUGAGUCCAAGAUGAACGAGUUACAAGUGACGGAGAGACCCGAGUAGCUGACGGCGACUUUCGAAUGGGAAAAAUGGUGAAAGCGGGAGACCAGAGGAAGGAGGAAACCAAAGAAGAUGAAGAUCUUUAGAGAGAGAGAGAGAGAGAAUCAUGUAAGCUGAAUCAGUGGUGCUUUUUUUUUUGGUCGAAAAAUCAGUGGUGCUAAAAAUUAGGUUUUUACUGGUUUCAAUGAAAUGGAUACAGUUUUCACCGGUUUUUAAUGCAAAUGGGUUGAGUCAGUUUUUAUACAUAAUCAUAUUUGUUUUCUCAUGUUUUUUUUGUCAAACCAGCACCAAUCAUGUCCCAGCCUUAACACUGUUUGGAUAAACAACUAAAUUAUACUAGUCCUUAUGUGUAAACUAUUUCCAUAACAAAAAUAAAGUCAAACCAUUUUCCUAUAAGCUAUAAGUUGUUUUCAUAAGUCAUCAUGGAAAGCUUAUAAAUAAGCUGAAACAACUCAAGGACAUGCCAUAAGUAGUUGUUUCCAUAAACUCUCUAAAAUAGUACUACAAGUGCUUAUGUCAAUCCAAACCAAACAGAUCCUUAGUCAUUAGAUUGAAGACGACACUGAGCUUCUACUUCGUAGGUACGGCCCAUGUCAUGGUGGUUCAGUGUAUAACUUGCUGUGAUUGGUUAACAACUUUGAUACACUGACACUUCUGAUUGAAGGUGUGUCUGGUGUCUGAUACGACACCAACACAUGUAAUUUCAUUCGGUUAUGUAAUUUUUUUUUAAAUUACUACCAGUGUGUACGUGUCAAUGUCAAUGCUUCAUAGGUUAACAAUAUUACUUUUGUAUAAGAUAUAAGCCGUUUUCAUAAGCUAAUCUUAGAGAACUUACGAAAUCAAGCUGAAGAGUGUACAAACAUAUAGUUUUUAAUUAAUAUACUUUGUCAGUGUACAAUAGUUUUACACAUGCAUUCAAUGAUGUUUUGCCACAUCAAUUAAUGAUUAAUGAAUAUGAAAACUUGUCAUAUUCAUUAAUUGAUGGGGCAACACAUCAUUAGAUGCAUGUGUAAAACUAUUGUACACCGGCAGAUCAUAAUGGUUAAACUCAUAAACACAUCGUAACAUGUUUUUAUAAGUUCUCUGUAACAGUCAAACAAGAUUUCACGCAAAUAAAUCAAUCCAAACAGAGCAUAAUAUAAUAACAUUAUGUGAAUGAAAAUAAAGAGAGAAACUAACAAUGUGAAACAUAUGAGCAUGAGAGAUCAAAAGAAAAUCCAUAGAAACAAAACGAGGUGGACAACGACCAAUAUCAAAAGCAAUUCUAAAGUUGGAAAAAAUAACACAAAUUUCAUGUCCUCCAAUUGAUAAACUCUCAACUUGGUAUCCUUCAAUAUUCAAACCCUUUGAUUUCUUCUUUGACUCUGUUUCUGAACUUCCUGACUUUAACUUCUUCUCAGUUCCAAGCUCCAUCAACGCAAUAGAAUGGUACUGCAGCGGCGUUGCCUUUUUAAAGGGAAGAAUACGGUGGCCGGAAAUGGUGGUGGUGAUUGCUAAGGCUAAGGGUAACUUUACUGCUGCUAAUGCUAUUUGCUUCUUUUUUUUUUCUCCAUUCAAAUUCCACUGCGUGUACCCACAGAUGAACCAAUAUUAUGCUCGGUGACUUUUAGGGUACACAAUUUGUUAAUGUAGGGUACACAACUUUUGUACAUGUAGGCCAUCACCACAUCCAAGCCAUUCAAUUUUUAAAUAGUAAAUCCAAGGUUAAAGGUUUGCUUGUGUAUGGGUACACAAAUUUAACAAUUUGUGCACCCUAAAAGUCACCAUUA
rnacentral:lncRNA from 1 species